rnacentral:tRNA from 1 species
UCCCUGGUGGCUUAGAGGUUAAAGAGUCUGCCUGCAAUGCCGGAGAUCCAGGUUCAAUCCCUGGGUUGGGAA